rnacentral:rRNA from 1 species
CCUACGGGAGGCAGCAGUAAGGGAUAUUGGUCAAUGGGGGAAACCCUGAUGCAGCGACGCCGCGUGAGCGGUGAAGUAUUUCGGUAUGUAAAGCUCUAUCAGCAGGGAAGAAAAUGACGGUACCUGACUAAGAAGCCCCGGCUAACUACGUGCCAGCAGCCGCGGUAAUACGUAGGGGGCAAGCGUUAUCCGGAUUUACUGGGUGUAAAGGGAGCGUAGACGGCUGUGCAAGCCAGAUGUGAAAGCCCGGGGCUCAACCCCGGGACUGCAUUUGGAACUGUGUGGCUGGAGUGUCGGAGAGGCAG